GACGAACGCUGGCGGCGUGCCUAAUACAUGCAAGUAGAACGCACAGUUUAUACCGUAGCUUGCUACACCAUAAACUGUGAGUUGCGAACGGGUGAGUAACGCGUAGGUAACCUGCCUGGUAGCGGGGGAUAACUAUUGGAAACGAUAGCUAUACCGCCUUAUAAUGAUUAUUGCAUGAUUAUUGAUUGGAAGAUGCCAAUGCAUCCCUUACAAGUGGACCUGCGUUGUAUUAGCUAGUAGGUGAGGUAACGGCUCACCUAGGCGACGAUACAUUGCCGACCUGAGAGGGUGAUCGGCCACACUGGGACUGAGACACGGCCCAGACUCCUACGGGAGGCAGCAGUAGGGAAUCUUCGGCAAUGGACGAAAGUCUGACCGAGCAACGCCGCGUGAGUGAAGAAGGUUUUCGGAUCGUAAAGCUCUGUUGUAAGAGAAGAACGGGUGUGAGAGUGGAAAGUUCACACUGUGACGGUAUCUUACCAGAAAGGGACGGCUAACUACGUG
rnacentral:rRNA from 1 species